GGCGAGUGGCGUUAGGGUGAGUAAUACAUCGGAACGUGCCCUGUUGUGCCGGAUAAGUAGUCGUUUGAUUAGCUAAUACCGCAUUCGACCUGACCGUGAAAGCGGGGGACCGAAAGGCCUCGCGCAAUAUUAGCGGCCGAUGUCUGAUUAGCUAGUUGGUGGGGUAAAAGCUCACCAAGGCGACGACCAGUAGCUGGUCUGAGAGGACGAUCAGCCACACUCGGACUGAGAUACGGCCCAGACUCCUACGGGAGGCAGCAGUGGGGAAUUUUGGACAAUGGGGGCAACCCUGAUCCAGCAAUGCCGCGUGUGUGAAGAAGGCCUUCGGGUUGUAAAGCACUUUUGUCCGGUUUGAAAUGGCCCUGGCUAAUACCCCGGGUCGAUGACCGUACCGGAAGAAUUUGCACCGGCUAACUACGUGCCAUCAGCCGCGGUAAUACAUAGGGUGCGAGCGUUAAUCGGAAUUACUGGGCGUAAAGCGUGCGCAGGCGGUUUUGUAAGACAGGCGUGAAAUCCCCGGGCUCAACCUGGGAAUUGCGCUUGUGACUGCAAGGCUACAGUGCGUCAGAGGGGGGUAGAAUUCCACGUGUAGCAGUGAAAUGCGUAGAGAUGUGGAGGAAUACCGAUGGCGAAGGCAGCCCCCUGGGACGUGACUGACGCUCAUGCACGAAAGCGUGGGGAGCAAACAGGAUUCGAUACCCAGGUAGUCCACGCCCUCAACGAUGUCAACUAGUUGUUGGGGAUUCAUUUCCUCAGUAACGUAGCUAACGCGUGAAGUUGACGGCCUGGGGAGUACGGUCGCAAGAUUAAAACUCAAUGGAAUUGACGGGGACCCGCACAAGCGGUGGAUGAUGUGGAGUAAUUCGAUGCAACGCGUAAAACCUUACCUACCCUUGACAUGCCACUAACGAAGCAGAGAUGCAUUAGGUGCCCGAAAGGGAAAGUGGACACAGGUGCUGCAUGGCUGUCGUCAGCUCGUGUCGUGAGAUGUUGGGUUAAGUCCCGCAACGAGCGCAACCCUUGUCUCUCGUUGCUACGAAAGGGCACUCUAGAGAGACUGCCGGUGACAAACCGGAGGACGGUGGGGAUGACGUCAAGUCCUCAUGGCCCUUAUGGGCAGGGCUUCACACGUCAUACAACGGUGCGUACAGAGGGUUGCCAACGCGCGAGGGGGAGCUAAUCCCAGAAAACGCAUUGUAGUCCGCAUCGUAGUCUGCAACUCGACUACGUGAAGCUGGAAUCGCUAGUAAUCGCGGAUCAGCAUGCCGCGGUGAAUACGUUCCCGGGUCUUGUACACACCUCCCGUCACACCAUGGGAGUGGGUUUUGCCAGAAGUAGUUAGCCUAACCGCUUGGAGGGCGAUUACCACGGCAGGGUUCAUGACU
rnacentral:rRNA from 1 species